rnacentral:rRNA from 1 species
AAGUGGAGCAAUCCAUGAGUAAAGUGGCGACCGGGUGAGUAACACGUGACUAACCUACCUUCGAGUGGGGGAUAACCUAGGGAAACCUGGGCUAAUACCGCAUAACAUCUUUGGAGUGGAAAUUCUGGAGAUCAAAGGGGCAAUUCGCUUGAAGAGGGGGUCGCGGCUGAUUAGCUGGUUGGCGGGGUAAUGGCCCACCAAGGCUUUGAUCGGUAGCCGGCCUGAGAGGGCGCACGGCCACACUGGAACUGAAACACGGUCCAGACUCCUACGGGAGGCAGCAGUGGGGAAUUUUGCGCAAUGGGGGAAACCCUGACGCAGCAACGCCGCGUGGAGGAUGAAGUCCCUUGGG